GAUGAACGCUAGCGGGAGGCUUAACACAUGCAAGUCGAGGGGCAGCAUAGGGUAGCAAUACUCUGAUGGCGACCGGCAAACGGGUGAGUAACGCGUAUGCAACCUACCCUGUACAGGGGGAUAACCCGGAGAAAUUCGGACUAAUAUCCCGUAAUAAUAUCCGGAGGCAUCUUUGGAUAUUUAAAGUUUCGACGGUACGGGAUGGGCAUGCGUAACAUUAGCUGGUUGGUAAGGUAACGGCUUACCAAGGCUAUGAUGUUUAGGGGUCCUGAGAGGGUGGUCCCCCACACUGGUACUGAGACACGGACCAGACUCCUACGGGAGCAGCAGUGAGGAAUAUUGGUCAAUGGGCGCAAGCCUGAACCAGCCAUCCCGCGUGCAGGAAGACGGCCCUAUGGGUUGUAAACUGCUUUUCCAGGGAGAGAAACUUACGCACGUGUUGCGUGACUGACGGUACCCUGGGAAUAAGCAUCGGCUAACUCCGUGCCAGCAGCCGCGGUAAUAGUGU
rnacentral:rRNA from 1 species